UAGGGAAUCUUCCACAAUGGACGCAAGUCUGAUGGAGCAACGCCGCGUGAGUGAAGAAGGUUUUCGGACCGUAAAGCUCUGUUGUUGGUGAAGAAGGAUAGAGGUAGUAACUGGCCUUUAUUUGACGGUAAUCAACCAGAAAGUCACGGCUAACUACGUGCCAGCAGCCGCGGUAAUACGUAGGUGGCAAGCGUUGUCCGGAUUUAUUGGGCGUAAAGCGAGCGCAGGCGGAAGAAUAAGUCUGAUGUGAAAGCCCUCGGCUUAACCGAGGAAUUGCAUCGGAAACUGUUUUCUUGAGUGCAGAAGAGGAGAGUAGAACUCCAUGUGUAGCGGUGGAAUGCGUAGAUAUAUGGAAGAAUACCAGUGGCGAAGGCGGCUCUCUGGUCUGCAACUGACGCUGAGGCUCGAAAGCAUGGGUAGCGAACAGGAU
rnacentral:rRNA from 1 species